CGGUUAAAAAGCUCGUAGUUGGUUCUGCGUGCCACGCUGUCGGUUCACCGCCUGUCGGUGCAACUGGCAUGUCGUGGCAUGUCCUGCCGGUGGCGGAUAGGCUUCGCGGCGCUCCCUACACGACACGUCAUGUAGGUCGUCGCGUUGUCCUUGUACGCCGACUCAAUCCUACCGCGGUGCUCUUUACCGAGUGUCGAGGUAGGCCGGCACAUUUUACUUUGAACAAAUUAGAGUGCUUAAAGCAGGCUCUUAAAUCAGCCUGAAUAGUGGUGCAUGGAAUAAUGGAACAGGACCUUGGUUCUAUUUUGUUGGUUUUAGGAAUCCAAGGUAAUGAUCAAUAAGGACAGGCGGGGGCAUUCGUAUUGCGACGUUAGAGGUGAAAUUCUUGGAUCGUCGCAAGACGCACUAGAGCGAAAGCAUUUGCCAAGUAUGUCUUAAUUGAUCAAGAACGAAAGUUAGAGGUUCGAAGGCGAUCA
rnacentral:rRNA from 1 species